UCUCAUGUCGAAAGCAUGUCGAAAGUUCUUGCUGCUUUGUUCGAGUUUUACUUGUGUUUUUGGAAUAAAUUCGACGCUAAAUCAAAUAUUGCGUAUGCAAAUGUCCUGCACUACCUGACAGCUUAUUUCAACAACGUCGGGUUUUCAUCACCAACAACUGAUUGACUGAAAUGUUUCCCGUCUGUCUGAUCUUCCACUAUGAAAAUCACUUUGUUAAUGAGACAUUAGAAUAAGAUACAGGUUAACAAAUAGCCUUUUCUGUGUUGUACCGCUCACUACAGUCAGAAGUGAUCACAACCAAGUACGAAAACCAAACAGUUGUAGUACUACAAUACAACCUAUGCUAUAAGUCUAAACUCUAAAUUUCGUGCCUUCAGCAGUGUGAAAACAGUGAAAUUGUAUUCAUACUGUGCUGUUUUCCAGGAUCACUUGAAAGCAAUAUUGCAUUAAAAGAGAAGUAUGUUGAUGAGGCCAUACCGUUAACUUCCACAUAUUCUUCUUAAUCAUCAAGCAGCCUUAAUGGGAUAUGAGAGCAGGAGCACCUCUUGAAAUCAUACUUCCCAGAAGUUACCCUAGCCUGGUUAAGGAUCAAGAAAGGGACUGACGCCGAUUAUCACCUCCAGAUGGAUAGAUGUGGAAUCCUGGAAAUGUUGCUGACCGACAACCAGCUCCGGUCAAAAUUUGGUCUUGCGGAUGCAUUUGUGCCACCCAGCAUCAAUACCACCUAUCACCACGCUACUGCAAUACUUCAUGACACUUUCUUUAGCAUCAUGAAAUUUAUCUCAACAUGU
rnacentral:lncRNA from 1 species